rnacentral:rRNA from 1 species
GAUGAACGCUGGCGGCGUGCCUAAUACAUGCAAGUCGAGCGAAGCGGGGACGGGUGAGUAACACGUGCAUAACCUCCUGUAAGACUGGGGUAACUUCGGGAAACCGGGGCUAAACCUGCUACUGAUAGGUGGUUCCGCGCUGCAUUAGCUAGUUGGUAAGGUAACGGCUUACCAAGGCAACGGUGCAUAGCCGACCUGGGAGGGUGAUCGGCCACACCGGAACUGAGAAACGGUCCAGACUCCUACGGGAGGCAGCAGUAGGGAAUCUUCCGCAAUGGGAGAAAGCCUGACGGAGCAACGCCGCGUGAGUGAUGAAGGUCAGCGGAUCGUAAAACUCUGUUAUUAGGGAAGCGGUACCUAAUCAGAAAGCCACGGCUAACUACGUGCCAGCAGCCGCGGUAAUAU